ensembl:lncRNA
GGUGUGUUAAAAUGACUAAUUUAAACAAGGGUUUAAGAGGUGUUGAAAGUUUUGAUUUCAGACUUCAACAUCCAUUUUUAUGUGUAAUAAGUGGGCCAUCUAAUUCUGGAAAAACAUAUUUUGUAAAAAUAUUGAUUGUAAAUGCUGAUAAUGUGUUUAGUAAUAAGAUUGAGAAUAUUCUAUAUAUAUAUACGCUUGUUGGCAACCUCUUUAUGAUGAACUGUUGAAGAUAAGAGACAUUACAUUUAUUGAAGGGAUCCCUAACGCUUUAGAUGACGACGUUCUAUUACCUGUAACCAAAAACAAUUUAUUAAUUAUUGAUGAUGUGAUGAAGGAUGCAAGUAGCAAUGCAGAAGUUGAAAAAGUAUUCACACAAUAUGUUCAUCACCGUAACCUUAGUGCCAUUUACCUGGUUCAGAACCUAUUUUUUCAGGGUAAAGCCAGUAGAACAAUUAGCCUAAACACCUUACAGGCCAAAAUAGAAAAAAAUAGUACUUUUUUUUUUUUUAACUGAUUUUGUUUAUCAAUAUACAUGCAUAAAUACUUUUUUUUUUUUUUUUUACUGAUUUUGUUUAUCAAUAUACAUGCAUACAUACUUUUUUUUUUUUUUUUUUAACUGAUUUAAGUGGUACAGGCCAAAAUAGAAAAAAAUUGUACUUUUUUUUUUUUUAACUGAUUUUUUUUAUCAAUAUACAUGCAUAAAUACUUUUUUUUUUUUUCUUUUUUACUGAUUUUGUUUAUCAAUAUACAUGCAUGAAUACUUUUUUUUUUUUUUUUUUUUUUUAACUGAUUUAAGUGUUACAGGCCAAAAGAGAAAAAAUAGUACUUUUUUUUUUUAACUGAUUUUGUUUAUCAAUAUACAUGCAUGAAUACUUUUUUUUUUUUACUGAUUUUGUUUAUCAAUAUACAUGCAUAAAUACUUUUUUUUUUUUUUUUUUAACUGAUUUAAGUGGUACAGGCCAAAAGAGAAAAAAAUAGUACUUUUUUUUUUUUAACUGAUUUUGUUUAUCAAUAUACAUGCAUAAAUACUUUUUUUUUUAACUGAUUUGUCCUCGGCGACUCUAACAAAGGAAAUCUCACCCGCGAACUCCCCAAAUACAGACAAUAUAUUAAAUGCCCGACCAGAGAGGAGAACAUUCUGGAUCACUGCUACACCACAGUUAGCAGUGCCUAUCAUGCCGUCCCCCGGGCUGCACUGGGACACUCUGACCACGUCAUGGUCCAUUUGAUCCCUGCAUACAGGCAGAAAUUAAAACUCUGCAAACCUGUUGUGAGGACAUCUAAGCAGUGGACCAGUGAAGCUGUAGAGGAUCUUCAGGCGUGCUUGGACUGUACUGAUUGGGAUGUCUUCAAGACCGCUACCAACAGUCUGGAUGAGUACACAGAAGCUGUGACAUCAUAUAUCAGCUUCUGUGAGGACAGCUGUUUACCAUCACGCACCAGGGUGAGUUAUAACAACGACAAACCCUGGUUCACAGCUAAACUCAGAAAGUUAA